GGACCAAUAUGUUGGUCGUGCCUCGGUACGUACUGACAUCGUUGGUUUCUACCUUCUGACGAACCAUGAUGUCAUUAAUUUGGUGUCUUGGGGAAUCAGGACUGUUACUUUGAAAAAAUUAGAGUGUUUAAAGCAGGCUCACGCUUGAAUACAUUAGCAUGGAAUAAUGAAAUAGGGCUUCAGUUCUAUUUUGUUGGUUUUCAGAAUCCGAAGCA
rnacentral:rRNA from 1 species